AGAGAGAGAUGGCGAUGGAACAGUAACAAAUGAUCUGAAAAGAAAAUGAAAUAAGCCCUCGUACGGUGUCACCAAGCGAUAGCCUCAAAGCAAUGAACAGGAAAGGGCAAAGCUUUUAGUUCAGUUUACCUUUUGACGAUGGAAGAGAAGUGAGUGGAUUCAGACAAAACAGAGCUCUGUUUCGUUAUGGUCUGUGUCAAGAAGAAGAAGAAGGAGGUGAAGAAGAUGAAGAUGGGGGAGGAGGGGAGGCUGUUUGGUUGGUUUGUAUAUAUAUGUGGCUGUCUCUUGAAAAUGGGCUGGUGGGUGUUUCUAGAGAGAGAUAAUGUAUUGAUUUCCCCUUUCUCUCUCUUCAUGGAUUUGGCUUUUUUUGAUAAUA